rnacentral:rRNA from 1 species
AUUGAACGCUGGCGGCAUGCCUUACACAUGCAAGUCGAGCGGCAGCGCGGGGGCAACCCUGGCGGCGAGCGGCGAACGGGUGAGUAAUGCAUCGGAACGUGUCCUUUUGUGGGGGAUAACCAGUCGAAAGACUGGCUAAUACCGCAUGAGCUCGAGAGAGGAAAGCAGGGGACCGCAAGGCCUUGCGCGAGAGGAGCGGCCGAUGCCCGAUUAGCUAGUUGGGAGGUAAUAGCUCACCAAGGCGACGAUCGGUAGCUGGUUUGAGAGAACGACCAGCCACACUGGGACUGAGACACGGCCCAGACUCCUACGGGAGGCAGCAGUGGGGAAUUUUGGACAAUGGGGGGCAACCCUGAUCCAGCCAUGCCGCGUGUGUGAAGAAGGCCUCGGUU